GACGAACGCUGGCGGCGUGCUUAACACAUGCAAGUCGAACGGAAAGGCCCUGCUUUUGUGGGGUGCUCGAGUGGCGAACGGGUGAGUAACACGUGAGUAACCUGCCCUUGACUUUGGGAUAACUUCAGGAAACUGGGGCUAAUACCGGAUAGGAGCUCCUGCUGCAUGGUGGGGGUUGGAAAGUUUCGGCGGUUGGGGAUGGACUCGCGGCUUAUCAGCUUGUUGGUGGGGUAGUGGCUUACCAAGGCUUUGACGGGUAGCCGGCCUGAGAGGGGGACCGGCCUCAUUGGGACUGAGAGAGGCCCAAGACGCGUAGGGGGGACAGCGGGGGGGAGUAUUGAACAGGGGGCGGGAGCGUGAGGCAGCAGCCCGGGGGGGGGAAUGGCGGCUUGGGGUGUGAAAACGGCUUCCGCUUGUGACGAAGGGGGAGGGAGGGUAAGGGAAAAAGAGGCACCGGCAAAUUUCGUG
rnacentral:rRNA from 1 species